rnacentral:lncRNA from 7 species
GCUUUCUUUUGUCCUCAAAAUAGGAAGUGUUACUUUCAGAGCAGCCCUCAUAAAAUAUAUAAUUAAUGUAGUUAAUAUAGAAAGUAACAAAACUUAUCUUAAUUUUAAUUCUUAUAUCAAUAUUAAUAUUAUAUAUAUAAACAUAAAAUAUAUGUUUAUAUAAAUAUAAACAUAUAUAAAGAGAAUAAGAAAAAAACCCGUAAAACUAGUUGGAUGCUUUACCUUGUUUUUGUGAAAUUAACACAUCAGGCUGGUUUAAUGGCAGUAGUUGCAAUUCUUAGUUCUCAAGGUGUUCAGAUUUUUUUGAUUCAGUUUUACUGUCUAUACUUCAUUCUUCAAAAUAGUUGUUCACAAAUGUAUGUGUUACCAAACGGUGUAACACAAGGCAUAACUGAGAAUUCAGGAAUAUCUCUUUCUGGUUAGAGGGCUUAUAGAAGUCUGGUUAAGAGUCAUGAUCAAGCUUUUAAUUGCAGCUCUAUAAAUUCUAUCUAAAAAUUCACAAGUAAUGCAUUUAUGCCAACUGAAAGUGGAGCUGCAAAUAAACAACAAAAAAUGUAUAUUUUAUUGAUAGACUUGAAGCCUCUUCUCAAAAUUGAUUAUCAAAACAGAAAGCUUGGCUGCAUUUUUUUUUCCUGUUCACAGGCUUGUGCUUAUCCAAUGUAUCAAAAAUGGCACUCAUCAUGAAAGGCAGUCUAUACAGCUAUCUGACAGAGCAGCAACCACAGUACCCAUGCUGCAAAAGGAUUUCCAGAGCCCUCUCAGCUGUGUACGUGAUACUUUCCAUAGGGAAUCUUCUAUAGUUUACAGCAGAGAAGUAAAAUGGUCUGAACACUGAUCUGGUCUUUCCUUCAAAGGCUAACUGCAGAGGUUUAAACUUCAUUUCAAAUGAUUGAACAUGCAUUUAUUUGUAAUACAUGCUUUAAUAAGGAUAUUUCAGAAUUGAUCCUCUCUUCAAGCCUCUGAUGCCAAAAAUCAGUGGCCAGCAUACAAGAGAAAUCUGGAUAAGAAAAAUACUUUGCUCCCUUCCCUGACUUGGGACUACUCAUUGCUGCAGCUGUUCACCAUCCCACAGUUUUUCCCCAAAGCAAUUUGUGGAACUACUGCAAACCAGAUCAUGAAAAUGGAACAAGUUACAGGUCUACAAAAUGUCUUAGGUGUUGUCAGCUAGUUCUUCUUGUCAUAUACCAUGUGGGACCUUGCUAUGGUGUUGCUUCAUUAUUCUGAUGCUGACUGAUGUGGACUCCUGUGUCUGUCUGCGGCUGUUCUGUUACUGUACAACACUGUCCUUUGCCCCUUGCUGAUGACUGCAGCUCUGCCAACCUGACCCUCAGCUGCUGCACUUCCAGCCACCCACACUUCUCAUCCUAGGCAUGAGAGAGAUGAAGUGCAAUGCAGCAUUGGAACAUGGAGCGAUCACAAUCAGACAGUGUAUACCUGAAGUGUCACUGCUGGGCUCUCACCUGCUAUGAACCAGUAAAGCUUGGUGUCAAAUAUUUUUAUAGUAUUUACUCUCAAACUAAAUUAAGAUGGCAUGUAUAUGCAUAUUAAGAUAGAUAUCAGUAGUAUUUUUAUACAUACUAAUUUUAACUUUAGGAAAAGACAUUGGAAGUUAUGGGAGGCAUUAUAGAAAGGUUUUCAUAUUUAUUACUCUAAAACUUCAGAACUGCAGCUUUAGAAUUGCGUUGUAGAUUUAAUUCCAGAAAGUACAGUUUUCUUAUAGAAAGGAUCUAGCUUUGGAAGGAUUUUUCAAUAAGUUUUUGGAAGCUUAAAACAAUGGUAAUCCAAAAGACCUACAGGUAAUGUAUUGCUGUUCCUGGUGGUUUUAGUUUCUUACGUUAACCAUUUUGUAUGGCUUGUCUUUUUAGAGAGCAGAAAUUCUGGUUUGUUGAUUGGUUUUAUUUUUAAUAUAAUACACAUCUUUCAGCUACUCUUGCUUCUUUAAGGUUUUUAUAUUGACUAGAAACAUGCACAGCUGAAGAAAGAAGCAGUGCAGAUUUAGAUGGGAUUAAAUACAUUUCCUAGAAUAUGGAAUUCUUGUGAGUUCUGCAUCCAUUAAAUUAACUUAUUUAAC